rnacentral:rRNA from 1 species
GACGAACGCUGGCGGCGUGCUUAACACAUGCAAGUCGAACGGAAAGGCCCUGCUUUUGUGGGGUGCUCGAGUGGCGAACGGGUGAGUAACACGUGAGUAACCUGCCCUUGACUUUGGGAUAACUUCAGGAAACUGGGGCUAAUACCGGAUAGGAGCUCCUGCUGCAUGGUGGGGGUUGGAAAGUUUCGGCGGUUGGGGAUGGACUCGCGGCUUAUCAGCUUGUUGGUGGGGUAGUGGCUUACCAAGGCUUUGACGGGUAGCCGGCCUGAGAGGGUGACCGGCCACAUUGGGACUGAGAUACGGCCCAGACUCCUACGGGAGGCAGCAGUGGGGAAUAUUGCACAAUGGGCGGAAGCCUGAUGCAGCAACGCCGCGUGCGGGAUGACGGCCUUCGGGUUGUAAACCGCUUUCGCCUGUGACGAAGCGUGAGUGACGGUAAUGGGUAAAGAAGCACCGGCUAACUACGUGCCAGCAGCCGCGGUGAUACGUAGGGUGCGAGCGUUGUCCGGAUUUAUUGGGCGUAAAGGGCUCGUAGGUGGUUGAUCGCGUCGGAAGUGUAAUCUUGGGGCUUAACCCUGAGCGUGCUUUCGAUACGGGUUGACUUGAGGAAGGUAGGGGAGAAUGGAAUUCCUGGUGGAGCGGUGGAAUGCGCAGAUAUCAGGAGGAACACCAGUGGCGAAGGCGGUUCUCUGGGCCUUUCCUGACGCUGAGGAGCGAAAGCGUGGGGAGCGAACAGGCUUAGAUACCCUGGUAGUCCACGCUGUAAACGGUGGGUACUAGGUGUGGGGUCCAUUCCACGGGUUCCGUGCCGUAGCUAACGCUUUAAGUACCCCGCCUGGGGAGUACGGCCGCAAGGCUAAAACUCAAAGGAAUUGACGGGGCCCCGCACAAGCGGCGGAGCAUGCGGAUUAAUUCGAUGCAACGCGUAGAACAUUACCUGGGUUUGACAUGGAUCGGGAGUGCUCAGAGAUGGGUGUGCCUCUUUUGGGGUCGGUUCACAGGUGGUGCAUGGCUGUCGUCAGCUCGUGUCGUGAGAUGUUGGGUUAAGUCCCGCAACGAGCGCAACCCUUGUUCACUGUUGCCAGCACGUUAUGGUGGGGACUCAGUGGAGACCGCCGGGGUCAACUCGGAGGAAGGUGGGGAUGACGUCAAGUCAUCAUGCCCCUUAUGUCCAGGGCUUCACGCAUGCUACAAUGGCUGGUACAGAGAGUGGCGAGCCUGUGAGGGUGAGCGAAUCUCGGAAAGCCGGUCUCAGUUCGGAUUGGGGUCUGCAACUCGACCUCAUGAAGUCGGAGUCGCUAGUAAUCGCAGAUCAGCAACGCUGCGGUGAAUACGUUCCCGGG